UCUGAUUUGUGAGCCACCCCUGUCAAUGGUCAGCACCUGCCUUAUUUAAGACCUAGCCUUUGAGAGCAACUCAUUCUCUUUUGUGAAUGUGUGUGUGUGUGGUUUCCUCAGAAAUCCAACUGUUUGUGAGACUCUGGUGAGUCAAAGGUUGACAGCAUUAAUGAAGUUGUCAUGCUUCACUGGCGUUUGUCAAGAUAAUUCCUCAAGCUCUGACUACAUCAGCCUCUGUUGUGAAAGAAAUGAAGCAACAGAAGUGCACUAUGGAGUGAGUUUGUUAUGCCCUUCACAUGGGGGCCUUACCCAGCAUCAUUCUGCAAUGGCCUAGUAACAAAUAAAAAUAUCCAUCAGGCAUUGAAGAUUCUUGAGCCAGCCAGCCAGCCAGCCAACCAACCAACCAACCCACCCCUCUCUAGUCAGUACACAUGGUUCUGAUCAGGCUUGGGACUAGCCUGUAUGAGUGGAGCAAGUUGUUAACUUUUCCUCCACACCAGAUAUUGCAAACGGCUUGUGAUGUGGCAAUGGGCUCUUUGGAACACUCCAAAUCCUCUUCAUUGUGUAUGGUUGUUUUGGUUAGUGUUGUGUCAGUGAGAGGGAGUUAACACUGCUCUUUGUGCAGAUAAUUCUGUGAAUAUAUUUAAAGUGCUUUGGGGGCUUGAAGACAUAUCAUUUAUUUGAUCUAUAUCCCACCUUUCUUUCCAAAAUGGGACUCGAAGACAUUCACAGUGAGACUGAAUAAAAAAUACUGUUUGAACUCAAAACAAGGUCAUGUAUUAAAACGUGCAGAAUACAGUCCUUCAGACAACCUGGAUCAAAGAUGUAUUAUCAGUCUGAACCAGCACUUUGAAUUGAGCCCAGAAGCAAACUGGUGGGCAGUAAAACUGUUGUGAAAGGAAAUCAGCUGCUUCCAGUUACCAAUUCUAGUCACCCACUUGGCCACAGCAUUUUUGGACCAGCUGGAGUUUCCAAAGGCAGACGCAUAAAGAACAUAUUGCAGUAGUUGCAAUGGGAUAUAACUAAAGACUUCUUUUUUCAACAUCACCAAAUGAAACAUCUUCAAAAAAGCAUAUGGUUGACACUCAAACGUUAAAUGUGCAAACACACACUCUCAGCCACCACCCAAAGCUUGCCCUGUGUGUUAAUGAAAUUAAGAAAAGCAGCUUGUUUGAUGGGACUUGUGGUGUAGAAGUACUUGGUGCAAAUAUAAAGAGCACACUUGGAAUGUCCGCUUCUUCACACCUCUUUCGACUGAGUGACUGCAGCAGGCUUUGCAUGCUGGCUUUUACCAGAUGUUUUAAAAACAGUUUUGUGAGGGCUUGUAUAUGAUCAAUUCAUUUUUGUAGCUCCAGGAGAAGAAAAAAAAUCAAGAUUACAUUGAUAUUGGUCUGGGUGUAAUAAUUCAUUUCUCAGACAGCUACAGACCAUAAAUAGGACUGACGCAUCCCAGAAUGUUUUUCCAGUUGGUUGUUUCUCAGGUACUGUUCAAUUACAGUGAGUUAAUGAUUAAAGCCCAUUUGCGUCAUUUUAGGGAAGAAACACAUAAGAAUAUUAUAUUCUGGAGUACCCCUCUCUUUUAUGAAAAUAGGCUUCUAUUUGCAUACCCUGAUUAGUUCCUCAUGCUAGCUAAUGUUUUGUUUGGCUUAUAAGUGUGCCUCUCUUUUCACACUCUGAAACAUCAGGAGUAAAGAUGAAGGAAA